CAUCAAUUGUUGACGGCUCGAAAGAAAAUAUUUUCCGAUUCUUCCAAUGAUAAUGGCUAGUUUGAUUAAUCAAAACAACAUAUGAUGAGAAAUCAAUACAUAAAAUGGUCGAGAUCCAUUUAUUAGACAGCCAAUUACUUUGUCCAAAACUCUGGGAAAU